AAAAGAAAAACACACACACACACAUACUUCCUUGGACCAAACUAUUUAUUUAGGCCUCAUAUAGUUUAGCUGUCAGUAGUAUUUGAUUAUUAUUGUAACUAGUUGGUAGCUUGUAGUUGAUCACUAUUGGCUAAUAGCCAACAACAGAGUCAAUUCGUAUAUCAUUCCAAGUAGUUCACUUUAAUUUCCAAAUAAAGUAGUACAAUUUAAUGAGAAGUAAAAGACGUUUGUUCAAGAAAGAACAAAUUGGUUACUAAUAAAUUAUAUUAAGGACAAUCUGGUCAAGUAUUAAAAAGUUUUCUAUUAGUUAUCUGUUGAUGGAAAAAAGAUGCUUGCAUCAUUGACCUAGCUAUUGGGGAUCAAAUAGUUAUAAGUUGGAUUUUAAUAUCUAGCUAAACCAAACAACCCUUUAAUUGAUGAUGAUCAGGAGGACAUGGCAUUUAGUGAAAUACAUAUUGGCCUCUAACCAUUGAUUAUCAACAUCAUUCCAUCAACCUACUUCGUAAAUCAGUACACUUGGUUGAAUCAGCAAUGGCUCAUCUA
rnacentral:misc_RNA from 1 species